UCCGCUCUGCUGCUGUCCUCGCCAGGAAGGAGAAGAUUGAGCUGUCCUACCAGCAGUUCAGCCUGACCAUCGCAGUGGUGGCCUUGAUGCUGCUGCAGAAGGAGCCCUCCAUGGAGGCAGCGCUGGGGCUGGCGCUGAGGGCGAACCUGCGCCAGGGCCGCAUCCACCACCUCCAGGAGCUGGAGGACUUCAUCGACAGCUACGACUCGGCCACCCCGAGCCACUGAGGGUGCUGAGCCCUCAGGUCAGGAUGUGAUGGACACGUUGGGGUGGCCCCACCAUCUCUCAUGGACAUGGGGAAGGAGGAGGGUGCUUUGUUUUAACCCUGCUCAGUGCGGGGAGGCCGCAGUGUUUGCUCCCCUCCACACCAGCUCCUUGCUCCAUUCGGGGUUCACAGGGAUGUGCCCUGAACCCCCCUGGUUGUUCUUGGGUUUACAUCUAAAUUAAACCAGUUGUGAUCUUUGCA